rnacentral:rRNA from 1 species
CCUACGGGAGGCAGCCGUGAGGAAUAUUGGUCAAUGGUCGCGAGCCUGAACCAGCCAAGUAGCGUGAAGGAUGACGGCCCUACGGGUUGUAAACUUCUUUUAUCCAGGAAUAAAGUGAGGCACGUGUGCCUUUUUGUAUGUACUUUAUGAAUAAGGAUCGGCUAACUCCGUGCCAGCAGCCGCGGUAAUACGGAGGAUCCGAGCGUUAUCCGGAUUUAUUGGGUUUAAAGGGAGCGUAGACGGGGUGUUAAGUUAGUCGUGAAAGUCCGGGGCUCAACCGUAACACUGCUGUUGAUACUGGCAGGCUUGAGUGCAGGUGAGGUAGGCGGAAGUCGUGGUGUAGCGGUGAAAUGCUUAGAUAUCACGAAGAACUCCGAUUGCGAAGGCAGCAUACGAAAGCGCCACUGACGUUGAUGCUCGAAAGUGCGGGUAUCGAACAGGAUUAGAUACCCUAGUAGUC